AUUGUGUUAGCACAUUAACAUCUUUCUAGAUUAGAAAUCCAUUAAGUAGAAAGAUCACUGUGCGUUUCUAAUCUUUGGAAGUGUGAUUUAUGGAUCGUGCUUGGCGAUCAUCGUGAAGAGUGUUAUUAUAAUAAUACUGUAAAGACUUAUUUUGACUUACAUCCAAACUCUAAAUCUCAAGAUACAAACAAAUUAUUCUCGGUAUUCCACGUGUUAAUUAACACUUUAUGAAGGAUCGUUGCUAUGAUCGAUCAUCUCUAGUCCUAAAGAGAUUGAGAAGAACAGAUACCAAAAAUGACACAUAAAAUAGAAGAGUUUAUUAUUAUGUAACAUUCGGUCGUUAUAAGAGCCAGUAAACGGCAAUUACUGCACAGUUUAUCUAUUUACUUUGGAAGAAAUGCAGACUUUGCAUGGACACAUGUGCAGUUGCAAAGAUACAACAAUAGUUGGCAAAUCCUUCGAAUGACGGAAUAAACAAGCCUCCAACGAGGAUUGUGCAAUGUCGUAUGCUCCUUUGCAUCAUAAGCAUCAAUAAUUUCUGUGCUUUCACCGGAGCUACAUACCAUUUGGCAAAUCCUUCAAAUGACGGAAUAAACAAGCCUCCAACGGGGAUUGUGCAAUGUCGUCUGCUCCUUUGCAUCAUAAGCA